ensembl:lncRNA uncharacterized LOC110396135
AUGGAGAUGAUAAGGGACUCACUGCUGUGGAAAGGGUCCAUGUUCUCACAAGAGGAUCACAGCCAGUGCCUCCAUCAGAAUCCCCUUGUGUACAACCUAUUUGCUGAAAAGACAAAGACCUUGAAUAACUUCCUCAUGGCCAACAAGUCUAAGGAAAACGUAGAUGACUCAGAAUGCUGUAAGGACAACUACAAAAACUACAUACAGCAAGCACUGAGAAACAAUGGCUGCUUCUCCUGGGGAGUGGAUCAAGUCAUCAGAUCUACAGAAAAAGAGGACACUGUACUCCCACAAACUGAGAAUUUGGCUGCUGAAUGGAUGGACAGAGCUGAAGCUUGGGAUAGAGCUUCCCUCCUACAAGGAAAGCCUCCCCAGCAGCUCACUCCUGGGAUGCCCACACCUGCUCCAAACCAAGGCUGGCAGAAGAUCUCAUGGCUGGAGCUUUUGGGAACGAGUGAAUCAGAGAUCUUGAUUUUCCCCUCAUUUCAGACAUUUCAGCCUGUGCUGGUCACCAUGCCACAGUCUCAGCAACCUCCUGAAUGCAUGGACAAUUAUUAAGUGCAUGGGGCAGACUGUUCUUCAAGAAAUGACCUGAAUGUCAGGUAUUUUGAACUGAAAAUGCUUCUAGUAUGCUGGUCUGGUAAUGUAGAUAGAUGUGAACUAGGAAAGGCAAUUUGUCUGCAGUAAAAUAUGAGAUCUUACUUGUAAAUGACCAUCAGUUACACAAGUGCAACUUCAUGACCUCCUCUGAACCUGCUGUUGAUGUGAUCCAGCAAAUGCUACUCCAAUUGUAUAAAAAAGCAAGAAGUUUUAAGUGCUGUUGCAGAGACAAAGCAUCUAUUUGGUUAUUACAGUAUAGCUACCACUGCAUUCAUGCUCCAGCUCAGCUCUACAGUGUCUUGAAGCUGAAUCCGUGAUGAUUAUGAAAGUAAGUGACCUCAGAUGAAAACAUAUUUUUAACACACUCCUCCUUCAAAAUCAGAAAAUUCUUGCACAAUUUUGUGAUCCAAAUAAACUAUCAUCUUACUGCCA